rnacentral:lncRNA from 1 species
UAGCAUACAGAUGAGAUGUAGGGGUACAUUAUCACUGAAUAAGUGACUCACUUAUAAAGCACUCUGCUGUCAAGAGUAGCUCAUGAAGCAUAUGAACAUUCCCACAUAAGCCCUGAAAACUAAUCAUCUGUGCCCAUCGUCUCCACAGAGAAUCCAUUUGAUCAAAAAAAGCAAAGAACGGGAGACGUGAGAGAGGGGGAGGAAAGGAGGGAGGUGUGAGAGAGGGAGAACGCAUG